rnacentral:lncRNA from 1 species
GGAAACACGGAAUCGGAAAGACGUAAACGGAAAUACGGAACCGGAAACACGUAAACGAAAACCCUGAAAAUACGGAACACGGAAACACCGAAAUACGGAAUCGGAAACCCUGAAAAGAAAAGAAAAAAAAAGCAUUAGGACCGGUUGGUGUUACCAACCGGUUCUAAAGGUCCUCCGCCUACGCGCACUCAUCGGCGCCCAUGUGGAGGCCUUU